GCCACCCUGGGGUAAACGUCAGAAUUCCUUUAAGCACAUCUGCUAUAAAGCAAGUAUACAUUUGGUGUCCUCUGAGGAAAGCUCUGAAGAGUCAGGAGGAGGAAGACCCCCUACAGCUGUUUCCAGCAUGGGCAGGGGUCUGCACUGUGCAGCUAGGACUUCUGGGUUCCCAGCCACCAGAGGCAGCCAGUGCUACCUCAUAGCCUUGGUGAACUGACCUUGGCCACACUCCCUGCAGAGAAGCCCUAACAUUGGUCUGCACAGCUGCCACCUGGGCCAGAGGUGUCUGCAACAGUCCCUGCAACCUCUGCAGCCCCCAGCUCAGAAUACCCUUGCUUGGAUGCUGCCUGCCCAUCUGUACUACCCACCAUGGCCUAGUGCCCCCUGAGCCACUCCAGACCAGCUCCAGCCUGUGGGCUGUCACACCUUCUCCAACCGAUCUGAGUCACUCAUACUCAUCCUUCUGUGGGUACUUCCCCCGUCUUAGGGUACCCUACAGACUCCCUUGUGUCAUAAGUUAAUUCUUUACAUUAAACAUCUCCUCCUCGACCUUCUGGUUUGUUUUGUUAUUGUUCUUCUUAAAAAAAAAUCUGCACAUUUAAUGAUGUGCAUAAACUUCAGGAUAAAUAACUUGGAUGGUCAAUGACUUUCAUGAGCUGGUGUGUUUAAUAUUUUAC
rnacentral:lncRNA from 1 species